UAAUACGAAGGUGGCAAGCGUUGUUCGGAUUUACUGGGCGUACAGGGAGCGUAGGCGGUUGGGUAAGCCCUCCGUGAAAUCUCCGGGCCUAACCCGGAAAGUGCGGAGGGGACUGCUCGGCUAGAGGAUGGGAGAGGAGCGCGGAAUUCCCGGUGUAGCGGUGAAAUGCGUAGAGAUCGGGAGGAAGGCCGGUGGCGAAGGCGGCGCUCUGGAACAUUUCUGACGCUGAGGCUCGAAAGCGUGGGGAGCAAACAGGAUUAGAUACCCUGGUAGUCCACGCCUUAAACUAUGAAUACUAAGUGUCGGCGGGUUACCGCCGGUGCCGCAGCUAACGCAGUAAGUAUUCCGCCUGGGAAGUACGGCCGCAAGGUUGAAACUUAAAUGAAUUGACGG
rnacentral:rRNA from 1 species